AUUCCAGCUCCAGUAGCGUAUAUUAUUACUGUUGUAGUUAAAAAGCUCGUAGUUGAAUAUCUGGCGUUGGGAAGCCCUGCCCGCCGCGAUUCGCGUGUGAGUUGUGGGGCGUCCCCGCCAUCCUGUGUGGGAGCCCGCCUACCCUUCAUUGGGCCGGGCGGUGCGAGCACACUCAGUUACUUUGAGAAAAUCUGCGCGUUCAAAGCAGGCACACGCUAUGAAAGCUUCAGCAUGGAAUAACAAGAUAGGACCUGGGUCUCUAUUUUGUUGGUUUCUAGGAUCGAGGUGAUGAUUGAUAGAGACAGUUGGGGGUGCUUGUAUUUAUUAGCUAGAGGUGGAAUUCUCUAAUUUGAUAAAGACUAACUUAUGCGAAAGCAUUUGCCAAGGAUGUUUUCAUC
rnacentral:rRNA from 1 species